AGAGUUUGAUCCUGGCUCAGAUUGAACGCUGGCGGCAUGCCUUACACAUGCAAGUCGAACGGCAGCACGAGAGCUUGCUCUUGGUGGCGAGUGGCGAACGGGUGAGUAAUAUAUCGGAACGUACCCUAGAGUGGGGGAUAACGUAGCGAAAGUUACGCUAAUACCGCAUACGAUCUACGGAUGAAAGUGGGGGAUCGCAAGACCUCAUGCUCAUGGAGCGGCCGAUAUCUGAUUAGCUAGUUGGUGGGGUAAAAGCUCACCAAGGCGACGAUCAGUAGCUGGUCUGAGAGGACGACCAGCCACACUGGAACUGAGACACGGUCCAGACUCCUACGGGAGGCAGCAGUGGGGAAUUUUGGACAAUGGGCGCAAGCCUGAUCCAGCAAUGCCGCGUGAGUGAAGAAGGCCUUCGGGUUGUAAAGCUCUUUUGUCAGGGAAGAAACGGUGGACUCUAAUACAGAUCACUAAUGACGGUACCUGAAGAAUAAGCACCGGCUAACUACGUGCCAGCAGCCGCGGUAAUACGUAGGGUGCAAGCGUUAAUCGGAAUUACUGGGCGUAAAGCGUGCGCAGGCGGUUGUGCAAGACAGAUGUGAAAUCCCCGGGCUCAACCUGGGAAUUGCAUUUGUGACUGCACGGCUAGAGUGUGUCAGAGGGGGGUAGAAUUCCACGUGUAGCAGUGAAAUGCGUAGAGAUGUGGAGGAAUACCGAUGGCGAAGGCAGCCCCCUGGGAUAACACUGACGCUCAUGCACGAAAGCGUGGGGAGCAAACAGGAUUAGAUACCCUGGUAGUCCACGCCCUAAACGAUGUCUACUAGUUGUCGGGUCUUAAUUGACUUGGUAACGCAGCUAACGCGUGAAGUAGACCGCCUGGGGAGUACGGUCGCAAGAUUAAAACUCAAAGGAAUUGACGGGGACCCGCACAAGCGGUGGAUGAUGUGGAUUAAUUCGAUGCAACGCGAAAAACCUUACCUACCCUUGACAUGUCUGGAAUCCUUGAGAGAUCAGGGAGUGCUCGAAAGAGAAUCAGAACACAGGUGCUGCAUGGCUGUCGUCAGCUCGUGUCGUGAGAUGUUGGGUUAAGUCCCGCAACGAGCGCAACCCUUGUCAUUAGUUGCUACGAAAGGGCACUCUAAUGAGACUGCCGGUGACAAACCGGAGGAAGGUGGGGAUGACGUCAAGUCCUCAUGGCCCUUAUGGGUAGGGCUUCACACGUCAUACAAUGGUACAUACAGAGGGCCGCCAACCCGCGAGGGGGAGCUAAUCCAGAAAGUGUAUCGUAGUCCGGAUUGUAGUCUGCAACUCGACUACAUGAAGUUGGAAUCGCUAGUAAUCGCGGAUCAGCAUGUCGCGGUGAAUACGUUCCCGGGUCUUGUACACACCGCCCGUCACACCAUGGGAGCGGGUUUCACCAGAAGUGGGUAGCCUAACCGCAAGGAGGGCGCUCACCACGGUGGGAUUCGUGACUGGGGUGAAGUCGUAACAAGGUA
rnacentral:rRNA from 1 species